CAGCAGUGGGGAAUAUUGCACAAUGGGCGCAAGCCUGAUGCAGCGACGCCGCGUGCGGGAUGACGGCCUUCGGGUUGUAAACCGCUUUUGUACUGGGAGCAAGCCCUUCGGGGUGAUGUGUACCUUUCGAAUAAGCACCGGCUAACUACGUGCCAGCAGCCGCGGUAAUACG
rnacentral:rRNA from 1 species